CAGCCGCCGCGGUAAUACUGAGGGGGCUAGCGUUGUUCGGAACUACUGGGCGUAAAGCGCACGUAGGCGGCUUUGUAAGUUAGAGGUGAAAGCCUGGGGCUCAACCCCAGAAUUGCCUUUAAGACUGCAGAGCUAGUAGGUGAGAGAGGCGAGUGGAAUUCCGAGUGUAGAGGUGAAAUUCGUAGAUAUUCGGAAGAACACCAGUGGCGAAGGCGGCUCACUGGCUCAUUCUAGACGCUGAGGUGCGAAAGCGUGGGGAGCAAACAGGAUUAGAUACCCGGGUAGUCCCUGUCUCUUAUAU
rnacentral:rRNA from 1 species